rnacentral:rRNA from 1 species
AGUGAACGCUGGCGGUAGGCCUAACACAUGCAAGUCGAACGGCCGCACAGUAAGCUCUUUCUCUUACGGUUGGCGAGUGGCGGACGGGUGACGCGUACAUCGCAAUCUACUUUUUCUUGGGGGAUAACGUAGGGCCACUUACGCUAAUACCUCAUACGACCUACGGGUUAAAUCAGUGGAUCUUCGGACCUUUCGCGUUUGUUUUAGCUGAUGUCGGAUUAGCUAGUUGGCGAGGUAAAGUCCCACCAAGGCGACGAUCCGUAGCUGGUCUGAGAGGAUGAUCAGCCACACUGGAACUGAGACACGGUCCAGACUCCUACGGGAGGCAGCAGUAGGGAAUAUUGGACAAUGGGCGAAAGCCUGAUCCAGCAAUACCGCGUGGGUGAAGAAGGCCUUCGGGUUGUAAAGCCCUUUUGUUGGGAAAGAAAAGAAGCAGGUGAAUACCCCGAUGUUCUGACGGUACCCAAAGAAUAAGCACCGGCUAACUUCGUG